UACGUAGGGGGCAAGCGUUGUCCGGAAUCAUUGGGCGUAAAGAGCGCGUAGGCGGUCCGGUAAGUCCGCUCUGAAAGUCCGGGGCUCAACCCCGGGAGGCGGGCGGAUACUGUCGGGCUAGAGUCCGGAAGAGGCGAGUGGAAUUCCUGGUGUAGCGGUGGAAUGCGCAGAUAUCAGGAGGAACACCAAUGGCGAAGGCAGCUCGCUGGGACGGUACUGACGCUGAGGCGCGAAAGCGUGGGGAGCAAACAGG
rnacentral:rRNA from 1 species